GACGAACGCUGGCGGCGUGCCUAAUACAUGCAAGUCGAGCGCAGGAAACUGACGGAGCUCUUCGGAGGGAAGGCAGUGGAAUGAGCGGCGGACGGGUGAGUAACACGUAAGGAACCUGCCUCAAGGCUUGGGAUAACUCCGAGAAAUCGGAGCUAAUACCGGAUAGUUCAACGGACCGCAUGGUCCGCUGAGGAAAGGCGCUUCGGCGUCACCUCGAGAUGGCCUUGCGGUGCAUUAGCUAGUUGGUGGGGUAACGGCCCACCAAAGCGACGGUGCAUAGCCGACCUGAGAGGGUGAUCGGCCACACUGGGACUGAGACACGGACCAGACUCCUACGGGAGGCAGCAGUAGGGAAUCUUCCACAAUGGACGAAAGUCUGAUGGAACAACGCCGCGUGAGUGAUGAAGGUUUUCGGAUCGUAGAACUCUGUUGUAAGGGAAGAACACGUACGAGAGGAAAUGCUCGUACCUUGACGGUACCUUACGAGAAAGCCACGGCUAACUACGUGCCAGCCGCCGCGGUAA
rnacentral:rRNA from 1 species